GCACGGGUCAAAGUUCUAUUUCACACUUGCAGGGGCAAGACAGCAAAAGGAAAAAGCUGGUUCACAGCAACUGUCUUAGGAAAGCAAGGCCUCUUUUAGAAACAGAAAGGAACGUCUAGACCCGUGGCUUGUUUAAACACCCGCUGCUAGGCCCCACUGCCAGAGCUGCCUAUCCAGGGCCGAGAAUGUGCAUUUCUAAGUAGUUCUCAGGCGGUGCUGAUGCUGCGGAUCUGGGGACUGUACUUUGAGAACCACCGGUGCAGACCCUGGCCAACGUUCUUUAGUCUGAUGCGUCGGGGAGCUGUAAAGCUGCCAUCCUUCACCGGUGGGCAAGUAACCUGGUGGCGCCACCCCAGGGCCAGACCCAGGGCCGGCCUCGGUGCGCCUCUAGCCAGAAAUAACCAGCACUGGGUUCCGCUCACCGGCAACGCCAGGUGGGGGCCAUCUGACCACUCAACAGUUUUGCUUUUUCUUCAAAUUCGGAUACUUAGAAGGAAUGCGAUGAAAUUGGGAUGAAGGUGUUUUGCUGGCCCCGUGGACAGACCAGACCUCCUCCCAUCGGAGCCUCGGGUCUCACACCAGCCCCCCAGGCGGCGCGCGGCCCCGUCUCGCCACCGCGGCCCGGGUCGUUCGCGUCUUCCGGCGCCGAGGGUGCCUCUGGGUCCCAGCACCAGGCUCCGUGGCGCGCACGCGCGGCAGCUUCUUCUAGCCCCGCCAGGAGACGGCCCAGAAGGGCUAUGCGGCGCGGCCUCGCUCCUGGGGGUGGUUAGGAACGACUGUUUCAUUUCCUCCUUCACCCUUCAAAUCUCAGUUUUUGCUUGGGCUUGAAGGAAUGGGCCAGGGUAUCGUGGACGGAGAGUCUUACAAAAUUUGAGUUUUUGAGGUCAGAAUUUAAAAGUAGCUGCCGAAACCCGGGAUCGAACCAGGGACCUUUAGAUCUUCAGUCUAACGCUCUCCCAACUGAGCUAUUUCGGCACGUUCUGGGUUGUCUCCUGAGUAAACUAUCACUGAGCGCUUUGCGUCCAACUGGCUUGCUUGUCUUUUCCUGGUGAUCAUGUACAGCAUUUCUUCCUUGUCCUGUUAAACGGUGUCGUCGGAAUUCUUCCACCUCCCUCCUUCUACGCUGCCACUGGGCGCUGCACACGCGCCUUACUUUCUUAGAUUGCUCUCGGCGCGCGCAGCCCGCACGGUCCAGGAGCUGGGUCCAGGCCCCCGAUGGCGGCUCCUCGGGAUGCUGGUUCCGUCCUCCCAGGGCCGGUCCCCGCGAGAUCCGAAGCAGCGGGGUCGCCUCGGGGAGCUCCUGCCCAGGCCUGGUAGCCCCUUCCCUUCGAUCUGCCCCUGCCUGUGACUAUCCACAUUCGUCACCUUGCUCCCCGAAAAGUUCCAGGCCCCAGGUGAGGAGCCGUGUAGGCCCAAUACGAUUGGAUGAAGGAGUGUACGGGGCAGGAAUCGUCAGACUGGCCUCUGGAGAGGAGUUUGCAGCCUCUCCGUGCUCCGGGCCCGGGAAAUGUCCACCUUAAUCAUCACCUCUUUGCAUGGAGCCUGACUGGCAAAUAAAUGCUGGGUUUUCCUGUUAGUGAAAAGAUCUUCAACAUCAACCCAAUAUUUAUUGUUGCUGUUUUACAAAGGAGACCGAAAGUUUCUGGGACUUAGUGCCACGGUCCCGAAACUGCAGCCACCUGGGGCACUGAAGAAUAUUUCACAUUUUUGAGAGAAACACAGCGAUGCUUGGCAUCUGUGGGACGCUAUGCAAACUACCCAGUAGUUCAUUGUUUUGGCAAGAGAUUACAUUUCUAUCAGUGAUGUCAUCUCUUUCAGCAUGAUAAAAAGUACCCAUGAAUCAAUGGGGAAUAUGAAAUUAGGGUUGAGAUGUCCAAUCUGUUUCCAAGCUUGAGAAAUUGUACACUGUCCAGGAUACACACAUCCCACCAGUAAGUUAACUGUGGUGAGAAUGAAAUUAGGGAGUCUCUGAGCCUACUCUGGCUUGGGAGGCUGCCCUUGAAAAAAAAAAAAAGAAUGAAAUAAAAGUGUAACUUUUCUUUCAAUUUAUAUGUAUAAUUUUUUUCAAGUGGCUACGAAGUUGUUGGACAUAAAUCCUUAUUAAGUUAUUUGGACCUGAGUACUUAAUAAAAGGAAUUGUUCGGCAUUUCUUUUGGCCUGGGGGCAUUGGAAAAAAUUACUGAGACAGUAAGAGCUGCCUGUGAACAGAGAAAGCGAAAAACAAUUAUUAUGAGUUUGGGAAAAACCUUGCUUUACUCAGCAAGAUUGCAGCGCAAAGAAGAACUGUCAGAACAUCCAAGGAGACCAAGCGCCACAGGCUAAAUAAAGUGAAGUGAAAAUCUGUGCACACACAUCAUAGUAAGAAGAGACAGGUGAUAAAGAAGUUGGCAUUCAAAAUGAGGAUAAAGAUGUUGAAGAAGACUCUGUGUUGGAAAGAAACUGUGUAAGCUGCAGUCCUGUUUUCCAAAUGAGCUCGCGGAUUUUGGCCAACUCCAGUCUAAUUACCUAUGAUUAAAAAAACCAGCUAAUUACGAGAACUAACUAGCAGAUCUGAGAAUAAUAAAACUGAAGAGAGUAUGUUGCAUAUAGUUAUAACAGCUAAUAAAUUUUUGUGGGUUUUUUUGUUUGUUUUGA